rnacentral:misc_RNA from 1 species
CCGAGUUUACAACUCCCAAACCCAAUGUGAACCAUACCAAACUGUUGCCCUCGGCGGGGUCACGCCCCGGGUGCGUCGCAGCCCCGGAACCAGGCGCCCGCCGGAGGGACCAACCAAACUCUUUCUGUAGUCCCCUCGCGGACGUUAUUUCUUACAGCUCUGAGCAAAAAUUCAAAAUGAAUCA